CAUGAUUAAUACUAAUAUUUAAAUUUAUUAGUAUAUGCUGUUUUGUCUUAUCUCAUGAAUCAUCAAGAAUAUGGAAACAUUUAUGAAAUAUCAAGGUGGUAUGGAAAAAUUAAAUUGACAUAAAAAUUAGUUAUUCUUAAUUGAGGUAACCAAUUGCGGAGGACACCUCCAAAGAAAGGUCCUUCAUUUCUAACAGAUCAUAUAUAGCAUUUGCCUUCGUUUCAUAAUAUUCAUACUGGCAUGCUACGAUGCCAAGCCUAUAGUAUUUUGAAUAUUGAUAAUGCUAUAUAUAAAUUUGCAUUUUCAAAUAAUUAGUGUUUGAGAAGAAAAUAAGAAUGAAGAAGAAGAGAUGAAAAUUUAUACUGAGUAUAAAAUAUUAGGGUAUUUUUGGUACUUUAAAAGUUGUAUAGAGCAAUAUCUUUAAUUUUAAAUUUUAAUAUAGGUUCAUUAAGAAAGUAGGUUUAAAAAAUAAAUUUUAAGGGUACAAAUAGCUGCACCAUUAAAAAAUUAAUUUUAAAAAAAUAUGAUCAAUUGUGUCAAAUGGGUUAACCAAAUCCAAAUCAUAUUAAGAUGAUUUAAUAUAAAAAACCUAAACACAACCCAUUUCACUAUUUACUCAAUCCAAACCAUUUAAUUUGAUUUGGAUUUGGGUUGAACCAUGCCAUGGGCUAUGGGUUUUAUGCCCAGCCCUGCCUGGCUGGACUUUAGCAGUACUGCUUGUAAAAUAAACUUUAAUAUUUAUGCUAAAUAAUCAAUCACAAAACAUAAUACAGGAAAUUCGAAUAACAUGAUUUCACACAGCAUUAAACAUAAUUAUGUACCUUAAUCCAAAGCUGCUUUCGAUUGUUGAAUAUAUGAAAGCAGAAGGAAACUGUGCUUCUCUCUCUUAGCUUCUUUUGAUUUUCACGUAAAAAUUUUUGGGUGUAAUCCUAAUCAUGGAAUAAAGUUUCUUAUAAAGGUAACAAGAGGACAAGACUUUCUUAUUUCACUUAUGACUCACUUUCUAUCAAAGUUGAAUCUUAUUAAGAAAUAAACUUCUCAUAUAAUUUAUAUCCUUAUUUAUUAAAGCUAUGAAAUAUAUCAAUACGGACCAUGAUUAAAACAUGUAGGUUGUUAAAUUUUUACAUUCUCCCACCUAGUCCAUAUGAUAUUUUUCAUAAUGGUUUAAUAAACAUUAGCGCGCAUUUAUUAAAAGGUUAUAAUAAAAAACACCAUUGUUUAUAAUUUUUGUGCGAGUCAUCACAGUUGUAUGUCAUUAUAUGCCACAUGCUCCCUUCCAUGUACCACAACACUAGUAUUUCAUGACCUAACAUGGUCUAUAAGCAAGAAAUUAUAAAGGUCCCGUAACGUCUUUAUCAUAGAGUAUUCACGUUGCCAGACAUUAGAAGUCAUAUGUGUACACGAAUAAUUAGAAACAAGAAUUAUUAAAAACACAUAAUUGAGCCCAGAGUAUCAAACAAUAAUAAAUAUUUAAAUCUAUACAUCAUUACUUAUAACUACACCAUAUAAGACCUUUUCUUUCCAUACGGUCCUUAAAUGUCUUUAGUGACAGUUCCGUAAUUAAUAAAUUUAUAUUCAUAAGCUUAAUGCUUAUGCAUUCUGUUGACACUCAUUUUUUCUGAAUCUCUUCGCUAACGACCAAGUAUUUUCAAAUAAGUAUUUAUAAAGUACUCAUCAUUAUAAUGGAAGAAGACUACUGCAGCAUAAUCACAAUAAGUUUGAGUGAUUUGGCAAUAAGGUUGACAACCCAAAUCCUAAAAUAAAUUCUGCAGUCAUAAUUCAUAAAUUUUGGAUUACUUUAAAUCUACACCAUGCAUCAAAACAAAGUUGUUGCUUGAUCUUGUAGACUUGAAAAAUACAUUAAACUUCCUAUAACAUACUCGUAAGAAAAAAACUUUCAUUUGCUUAACUACAUUCAUUCUUUAGAUGUUGCAUGAGACGAAAUUUAAAUCCCUUAAAUAAGGACAAUCAUUUAGGAAAUAAUUAUAUUCUAAAUCUUUCAAAAACUCUAUAAUGUAUACAUUAUGAGAUAACCCUAAAAUCCACGUGAUUAAUUAGAAAUAUUAAAAUUUCUAUCACGUAGGUUAUUUCUCUUAUACAUUUCAUUUGACCGUUCUUAGAAAGAAAAUUUCUUAAUUUUAUCAAACAUACAACAUUAUUAAUAGCAAACAAAAUUGUCAAUAUACAGGCUCAUAAAUAUGAACUUAAUACGUAUUCAUGAGUAUAAACAUACUCCCAUUGGCUUUCAGAUACGUACAUUGAUCAAUAGUAUUUACAUUAAAAUCCAAAGGAAAUUAUAGUAUAAUAAAACUUAAACUAGUUUGGGAAAAAAUUAACUAAGUUUGUAUAAAACUUCUUAAGUAUGCAACUUUAUAUCUUUUUGUUUUUUUUCUUUAUUUGAGAAGUUGUUCACGUUGAUCCAAGAAGGCUACUUUCACAUUCAUUUUGUGUAACCUUAAAUCAUAACUAAACUAAAUAGUUAUACGAAGUACCGAUCUUCUUGAAAGUUACUUUCCAUGGUUUUCUACAAUUAAUUCAUUUUAUGAUUUUUAAUUAUGGAGUGAACUGUCAUUAGUUUGCUGUUCAAUAUUACCAUUUUUAUAAGACAAAUUAAAAAACAACAUUUUAAGAAGUUAAAGUAUCAACACUUCCUCCCAACUUCUAAUAAUCAAUUUGUGAUCUUCAUUCACUCCCACUAACUUUACCAUUAUAUGUUUCAAUGAACUUAGGACAGUUGCCUUCUAUAGUUGUAGAACCAUGAUUAAAAUUGUAAAAUUCAUACUCAUUAAUAGCUAACUCUUUAAACCGUAUUCCGUAUUAUAACUUAUCACUUAUGUUAAGCAACUUAAACAUCAAGGUGCUUUAAGCAAUUUAAAUAUCAAGAAUCUGCUUAUGUUCAUACUUCAAAGAUGACUUUAAAUCUACCUUACUGGAAACCUAAAAUUUAACUUUUAUACAUAAGUUUUAAAUUUAUACAUCAACAUUUAUGGGUAAAGUGACAUAUUUACCUUAUUUCUAACUAUGUAUAUGAAAGUACAACUAUGCCUUACUAGAAAUUUCAUAAUGGACAUAGAAAUUAUGCUUCUCAUAGUAUACAUCAACAUUUAACUUUUAUACUUAUGGGUAAAGUGAUAUAUUUACCUUAUUUCUAUCCAUAUUUAUGCAAGUACAACUAUGCCUUCCUAAAAAUUUCGUAAUGGACAUAGACAUUAUGCUUCUCAUAGUAUUCUCCACUUCACACGAUCUUUUAAUUUUCACCUUUUAUCUAAUUGCCUAUUAAUCUUAGUAUGCAUACACUUUAACGGUAUCCACAAACUAAGAUCUAUCUUAUAGAAAAUAGAUAUAAUCAUAAUGUGAAAAUUCAUCUUCGCAUGUGAUGAAGAACUUGACUAUAAGGGCGGAACAUUUAACUAAAGGAGACAUGAGCUUCUUGUAGCUCAUUUGGUUUUGUUUUGCUCAUUCUUAAUGCAGUCACGUAGACACGUAUCAAUUAAUUAAAAACUAGAUUCAGUAAAAUUUAAUUAUUUAGGGUGCAUUUGAAAUUGAGGUUGGGUAGCUGUAUCUUAAAAGGAACAACAGUAAAGUGUUUGGUAAACACCAGCUGUUGUAGCUUGGAAGCUAUAUUAAUAUAAUUUUUCACUUGUAUGAUGGAAAAUAUAUUAUAUCAUUGAUAAUUUUUUCAAAAUUAUUAUUUCAAAGUUAUAUUUACUAUAUAUUAUUAACUUUUAUGUCAUAGUUACAGUUUUUUUUUCACGACAGCUGUAGUUUAAAAGGUACAACAUUUUAAUCCCAAACAGGACUCUACUAGUCUAUUCUAGAUAUUUGAUCCAAAAUUCUACUGCCAGAAUGAAGUUAAUCAUUAAUUAAUGAUAUUACAUUUAGUUACAACAUUAUGAUGUAGGGCUAAACAAAUUCUUAAUAAAUUAGUUAUCAAGUUAACUAGACGAUAAAAAAUUUCUAAGUCUUAACAUUAAGCUCCAAUAGCUAGCUUUAAAGAGAACCUUAUACGUAGAUCCCAGAAUAUUCAAUUUGAUUUGGGAUUUAAAUUAUCAUAAACCUCUACAUCGUGUUUGAAGUAUGAACACUAAUAUCAUAAUUAAUCCAUUAGUUCUUAAAGGAACUUCAGUUUUAAUUUGGUUUGAAACAUGUAUAAGCAAAAUUUUUAUCUUCCUUUUCAAACUAUACCUUGCAUUACAGAUAAUCUUUUGAUAAGUUUUCUUUCACAAAGGUAAUUUAUCAUUCUUAAGUUCCUUUUAUGAUAUGUUUUAUUCACCUGUAAAAAUCAUUUCUUGAUACCCUUCUACGUAGGAUUUUCUCUUAAGCUCCUUAAAAGCUUAAAUGAACUAUAUGAGUAUUCUAACUUUUUAUUCUUUUCCUUACCUUGAUCAGUCUUAUCGGUCAAUCUAUUGUCAUUCCUCUUGUUUUUAAUACUGCUACAACUUAUUUAAAAUGACCAUAUUUGGGGAGGCAGGGAAUCAAAGUAAAUUUAAUAAGAGAUACACAUCCAUAUUUGCACCCAAAGUUUAACCACACGUUAUGUUUGUCACCUCAAAGAUUUGCUUGUUAAGUGCUACUUAAACCAUCAAAUUUCAUGGUGGUUAAAUUAGCCAUAACUUUUCUAGAAAAUAUUUAAUCAAUGCUUCGGAAGCAUUCUACUACUUAAAGAAAUUUACUUCAUAAAAUUAUCAAAAUAAGCAUACAAAUAAAGUAGCAACAUAUAUAUACAAAAUAAAAUUCAAUAUACACUUAGGCUUUGAGUUUAAAUACAUGAACAAGAUAAUUCAGAAAACAAUAAAUGUACAUCAAAGUUCUCCUUUGGGUAGAUACUAUGACACAAACAAUCUUGAGGCAUUUGAAUUUUACAUUAUUGGAUAAUCAUUUGUUUGCUUUAUAGACAAGCAUGUUAUCUUGGGAUAACAUUACCAAUCUACAUUAUACAAUUAUUAAUUAUUCCAAUUCUGUUCAUUAUUCAGAUAAUAAAUUAUGCACAUUUUUGGGCGAAUAAGAAUAAGAAAAAUCAAUAAACCCAUAAUUUAUUGUUAACCGAAUAUGCACCACCAAUUUAUAUGUAGUUGAUCACGUUAAUAGCCAUUAGACAAUUUAUAAAUUCACUAUGAUUUUAGUUUGGCCACAUUGGUGAUUAAAAAACUACUAUACAAUGAAUUUUGAUUGUGCAGAUAUUAAGAGAUGUUAUACAAUUUGUUAUUCAAGAUAGCGUUUAGUUUGGUCACUUUGGUGACUAACAAAUUAUAGUAAAAUAUGAAUUUCAAGUUGCAUGAACAUUAAUAGAUAUCAAACAAUUAUUCAUUAUACUUUUUCGUUUGGCUGCUUUGGUGGCUUGCAAGCUAUAUUGUAAUAUGAAUUUCAAAUGGUAUAAUAGCAUCAUUAUGAUAAUCACAUAAAAUAUCUCACAACCUUUAACAUAUGAUAAAUGUCCUUGUAAUGUUAUACACUUUUCAGGUACUAUAACAGUUUUAAAAAUAUUACAAAAACAAAUGUAAAUAAAUAUAUGGGUACUGCAUAAAUUAAUAUUUGACCUUUCAUUAGAUUUUUAUGCCAAAUUUCAGAUUCUAUAAUAAUCUUGGAACAAUAAAGCUUUAUCAGGAUUAAAUCAUUAUAUUUAUUAUCAGAUUUCAUUUGUCAUAACAUCUAAAACUUCUGGGGAUAUUAUCAAAUUAUGCAUGUAAUAUGCAAAGCCAGACCGAAAAAACCAAACAAGGGGGGGGGGUGGAAUAGAUUAUUAUUACCCAUACAAAACCUCAUAUAUCUGAAACAUUCAUGGUCUGGUAUGAAAGUGGGUUUGUUUAUAAUUACUCAUUUAGUGUUCAAUAAUCGUUUAGUGCUACAGAAACCUCAUGUAUCUUUAGUGCUACAAAAGGGGGGUGGGGGUUGGAAUAGAUUAUUAUUACCCAUACAAAACCUCAUGUAACUUUUGUGCUACAGAAACUUUCAUGGUCUUGUAUGAAAGUGGGUUUGUUUAUAAUUACUCGUUUUGUGUUCAAUAAUCAUAACUUAUUGAAGUUUCAUUGGUCAUAAAGAAAUUGCACAUAAAAUUAAUUCACACCAAUUUUGGUUGAGGACAGUAUGUGAUGGCUAUUGAUAAUUGUCUUCAUGUAUAAUUACAUAAGCACAUGAAUCAAUUAUCAGUAGGUAGAAUUUCACCAUUACAACCACAUGCAACUAUAGUAUUAUACAGAAUACCGCAGCAUCACCAUUUCAUUCCCAUUGACUUGAUAUUACAGAAGUCAUACAAGAAAACUAUUAUACAUUAUAAUAAAUUUUAAUUCAGAAUAACAUAUUUCAAAACUAAUCUAACUACUUUGAUUCAAAAACAAAAUCCAAUCUCUUAAACAGUUGAUGAUUCGUAAAGUCAAAGAAUUGGUUCAUGCUAGAAUUAAUUAAAAUCUAUAAACAUGAUUGAACCUGAGAAAGGAUUUGUUUAUUUAUUUUUUAAAACUUUAGUGGAAAAAUCAUGAAUUAUCAACCCUACUCUAAUACCACAUGUAAAUUAAAUUUUAAUAUUUAUGCUAAAAAAUCAAUCACAUAACAUAAUACAAAAGAUUCAAAAAAACAUGAUUUCACACAUCAUUAAACAUAAUUACGUACCUUAAUCCAAAACUGCUUUUGAUUAUUGAAUAUGACAGUGGCAGGAAACUGUGUUUCUCUCUUUUAGCCUCUUUUGAUUUUUACAUAAAAAUUUUUGGGCGUAACCCUAAUGGGGAAUAAGAUUUCUUAUAUAGGCAGGGAGAUGACCAAAUUUCUCUAUGUCACUUAUGACUUAUUUUCCAUCAAAAUUGAGUCUUAUUAGAAAAGAAAAAUCUCAUAUCAUUUAUAUGAUAUGUCUAGCUAUCUUGCAACAGUUGCAAGGUACCCCAAAUUUAAGAAUAAUUUACUAUUUAUUCUUGAUUAAGAAAUAAUUGAAUAGUAAAUUUAUUAGUUUCUAAAUGUCAUUUUAAAUGUAGGGUGGUUGCUUAAUUUUUAUUGUGAUAGCUUAAACUUUUUGACAAUGGCUAAUCAAUCAACGUAAAAGACCCUACCAUGAUUGUUUUUACUUUCUCUACAUCCCUUUCGGCCAUCAUUACUCAAAGAGUUAAGGGUUUGUUUGACACAUUGUAUUAUAUUAUACUCUAUUGCAUUAUUUAAUAUAGGUGUAUUAUAUUAUGUUAUAUUUCAUUAACAGUAUAUUAUAAUAAUAUUGUACAAUGAUUGGUAUUACAUUAUACUGUAUUAAUUUUAUUUUUUAGUAUUAAUCAAACAUUAUUUAAAUUUAUUAUUA
rnacentral:lncRNA from 1 species